GAUGAACGCUGGCGGCGUGCCUAAUACAUGCAAGUCGAGCGAACGGACGAGAAGCUUGCUUCUCUGAUGUUAGCGGCGGACGGGUGAGUAACACGUGGAUAACCUACCUAUAAGACUGGGAUAACUUCGGGAAACCGGAGCUAAUACCGGAUAAUAUUUUGAACCGCAUGGUUCAAAAGUGAAAGACGGUCUUGCUGUCACUUAUAGAUGGAUCCGCGCUGCAUUAGCUAGUUGGUAAGGUAACGGCUUACCAAGGCAACGAUGCAUAGCCGACCUGAGAGGGUGAUCGGCCACCCUGGAACUGAGACACGGUCCAGACUCCUACGGGAGGCCGCAGUAGGGAAUCUUUCGCAAUGGGCGAAAGCCUGACGGAGCAACGCCGCGUGAGUGAUGAAGGUCUUCGGAUCGUAAAACUCUGUUAUUAGGGAAGAACAUAUGUGUAAGUAACUGUGCACAUCUUGACGGUACCUAAUCAGAAAGCCACGGCUAACUACGUG
rnacentral:rRNA from 1 species